AACGAACGCUGGCGGCAGGCUUAACACAUGCAAGUCGAACGCAUCCUUCGGGGUGAGUGGCAGACGGGUGAGUAACGCGUGGGAACGUGCCCUUCAGUUCGGGAUAACCCAGGGAAACUUGGGCUAAUACCGGAUACGUGCGAGAGCAGAAAGAUUUAUCGCUGAAGGAUCGGCCCGCGUCUGAUUAGCUAGUUGGUGGGGUAAUGGCCCACCGAGGCGACGAUCAGUAGCUGGUCUGAGAGGAUGAUCAGCCACAUUGGGACUGAGACACAGCCCAAACUCCUACGGGAGGCAGCAGUGGGGAAUAUUGGAUAAUGGGCGCAAGCCUGAUCCAGCCAUGCCGCGUGAGUGAUGAAGGCCUUAGGGUUGUAAAGCUCUUUCGUCCGGGACGAUAAUGACGGUACCGGAAGAAGAAGCCCCGGCUAACUUCGUGCCAGCAGCCGCGGUAA
rnacentral:rRNA from 1 species